rnacentral:rRNA from 1 species
CACGGGGGGAGCAAGCGUUGUUCGGAAUUACUGGGCGUAAAGGGCGCGUAGGCGGCCACUGCAAGUCGGUUGUGAAAUCUCCGGGCUUAACCCGGAAAGGUCAAUCGAUACUGCAGGGCUAGAGUGCAGAAGGGGCAACUGGAAUUCUCGGUGUAGCGGUGAAAUGCGUAGAUAUCGAGAGGAACACCCGCGGCGAAGGCGGGUUGCUGGGCUGACACUGACGCUGAAGCGCGAAAGCUAGGGGAGCGAACGGG